rnacentral:rRNA from 1 species
GACGUAGGGUCCAAGCGUUGUCCGGAUUUACUGGGCGUAAAGAGCGCGUAGGCGGCUCGUUAAGUGUGAAGUGAAAUCUCCAGGGCUCAACCCGGAAACUGCUUUACAUACUGGCGAGCUAGAGUGAUGAAGAGGUUUGUGGAAUUCCUGGUGUAACGGUGAAAUGUGUUGAUAUCAGGAGGAACACCCAUGGCGAAGGCAGCAAACUGGUCAUCAACUGACGCUGAGGCGCGAAAGCGUGGGUAGCAAACAGG